CUCCAGACUCCUACGGGAGGCAGCAGUGGGGAAUAUUGCACAAUGGGGGAAACCCUGAUGCAGCGACGCCGCGUGAGUGAAGAAGUAUUUCGGUAUGUAAAGCUCUAUCAGCAGGGAAGAAAAUGACGGUACCUGACUAAGAAGCCCCGGCUAACUACGUGCCAGCAGCCGCGGUAAUACGUAGGGGGCAAGCGUUAUCCGGAUUUACUGGGUGUAAAGGGAGCGUAGACGGCCAGACAAGUCAGAAGUGAAAGCCAAGGGCUCAACCCUGGGACUGCUUUUGAAACUGCCGGGCUGGAGUGCAGGAGAGGUAAGCGGAAUUCCUAGUGUAGCGGUGAAAUGCGUAGAUAUUAGGAGGAACACCAGUGGCGAAGGCGGCUUACUGGACUGUAACUGACGUUGGGGCUCGAAAGCGUGGGGAGCAAACAGGACUAGAUACCCCCGUACA
rnacentral:rRNA from 1 species